UACGUAGGGCGCAAGCGUUGUCCGGAAUUAUUGGGCGUAAAGAGCUCGUAGGUGGCUUGUCGCGUCUGCCGUGAAAGCCCAUGGCUUAACUGUGGGUCUGCGGUGGAUACGGGCUGGCUAGAGGUAGGUAGGGGCAAGCGGAAUUCCUGGUGUAGCGGUGAAAUGCGCAGAUAUCAGGAGGAACACCAGUGGCGAAGGCGCUCGCUGGGCGUAACUGACGCUG
rnacentral:rRNA from 1 species